AGGGAGAAGUUGAAAUGAAAUUACAUUUAGCUGGAGUAAACAGAGUUUUAGUGUCAUCUAAUAUAUUCAUGACAUACAAAAUAGCUAGAAUGACAGCAAAAGUUACCAUAUAUUUUAUUUAUUACGACUGUCAUCAAUGUAUGGAAUACAUCAAAGAACACCACGUAAGACAAAGUGCAGAUGAGACCAGAGUUAAGAUUAUUGAUGAAGAUGACAUCACUGAAGUAAAUGAAAGAACUUCGUUGAUUGGCGUGAACACCAGGGCUAUUGAUAUUGAUGAAGAAGCAUUGGACAAGAUUUUAGAUAUAUCUGUAAGCUACUUUGAUAAGUUUUUGUCUGGAAAACUAAGCCAUCCCGCGAAUAUCAGACAUUCACGUCGGGCAAUCUGUUUAUGUCAGUUUUUGGAGGAAAUGAACAAAUCAUGUAAGGGACAGAAUACACAACAUAACAUUAUUGAAGUGUAGCAGUUAAAGUUUAUAUUGAAUCUCACUUAUAUAUAGCUUUUCAUUGUGUUUUUUAUAAUUAACUACAUAUAAAUUUACUUAUUA